GGUUCAAUGGUGUAGUUGGUUAUCACGCCUGCCUCACACGCAGGCGGUCCCCGGUUCGAACCCGGGUUGAACCA